rnacentral:rRNA from 1 species
UACGGAGGGUGCAAGCGUUAAUCGGAAUUACUGGGCGUAAAGCGCGCGUAGGCGGUUUUUUAAGGCGGAUGUGAAAGCCCCGGGCUCAACCUGGGAACUGCAUCCGAUACUGGAAGACUAGAAUGCGGGAGAGGGAGGUAGAAUUCCAUGUGUAGCAGUGAAAUGCGUAGAUAUAUGGAGGAAUACCAGUGGCGAAGGCGGCCUCCUGGCUCGACAUUGACGCUGAGGUGCGAAAGCGUGGGGAGCAAACGGG